CGUAGCUCAGAGGUAGAGCAGUCCGGGAGUAAUCCGGGACUGGGCGCGGGUUCGAAUCCCGUCGAGAU
rnacentral:tRNA from 1 species